rnacentral:lncRNA from 1 species
GGGGUUAGAAUGGACUGAAUCUCCUUAAAUGCAUGCAUUUCACAGCUGUGGUGCUAAGAGACAGAUUGCUUGGAAUGCCACAGGGAGGCUAAGCCAAACAAAAAGGAGCGCAUGAGGAAAUUUUUCUAGUGAAAAAUAUUUUUCCUUACCAACCUGAAAUAUUUUCCCUUUUAUGCUAUAUUCAUUUCUCCCCCCUUGUUGAAAUAGCGUGGCUUCCUCCACUGCCGAACGUGUUUUCCGCCUUUUGAUUUCGGCAACAAAUGAACAUUAAUUCCUUCACCUGAUGCACACAGUCAGUGCUACACAGGCUUAGAGGGCAAUGUUAAGAGAAGUUGAAAUGGAUGGAUUUUUCCAGGAGAUGAAAAUGGUAAAACUGCCAGGCUGAAAUUUAAAGAAAUUUUCCCCCCUUAUGAUUAAGGGGAAGGCAUCAAUAAGCAAAGCGAUUUUAAGGCAAUCCUGGAGUUCUCUGGGGACUGCAUUGUGUUUUCUCUCCCCAUCUGGGGGGGCUGAGAUCCACACUUGGCCCUUUAGUCAUUCUGGGACCAGGGACAAGUCACUUCUACUUGCAGGGGGGUGGGGGUGGCGCGGCUUGUUGGUCACCAGCACUGUCAACGAGAGUCCUAAUUGUAGUUGACAGGGCUUUUGAGAGGACAGAAGGGGACUGAGCGGAGAGGUUUUGGGAGCUGCUGAGAAGCCUGUAAGUGGAAGCUGCUGUUAUUGUUUGCCUUUGUCAGCAAAGCCUCAGGAGAACUUCCACCAGGGGCUGGAGAUGGGGAGGGAAGGAAGUGAAAGUAAAAUCAGGCAUUUUUGUUGCUAUUUAAAAGCCACCCUAGGAACAAGCCUUGCAGGGUAAAAAGUUGAAACUAAAUGAGGCUUUCAGUGUGUUCUGUGGGUUUUAGUGAUUCCAAUUAGCCCGCGGGCUCCCCUUUUGUCCCUCCCGGGUAGCAGCGGUGUUGGCAGGAGAUGAAAUGCCGCUGUGCACACAGACCCCACCUGGACGUUAGCCAGGGUCUCCCCCCACCCCCCCAUCACAGCGCCUGAGCCGCUUCCAUUUCUUUUUUUAAAUAUUCCUGGGAUGUUAAAAAGUGAAAUGCCAGAACAGAGUUACAAACAUGGUGGUGCAUUUUAAAAUGCUGAUGUUUUAAAAUUUGUCAUUUUAACCCAGGCAUUUAAACAGUGUGAUAUAAUGAUCUUGCUUUUCCAAAGAUUACACCAUGAACAAGUAACAUUUAUGUAGGGUACGCUGUCAAGAGUAGGGCCCAAGUUCAAGUAUGUGUGAUGGACGAGUCCUUCCAGGGGUAAGAGUGAAAAUGACUGCCUGGGUAUGCUUAUUUGGGAUGACGUCAAAGUCUGUAUUGGAGACGUUCUAAACUGGAAGGCUGGGCUAUAAAAGGCUCUCCUGCCUUCCUUCCCCCAGCUCCUCAGCCCCCAGCCCUACCCGGAGGCCUGACUCUUGGUAGAUCAUGAUGACUAUAGGGAGAAGUGGGGAGGGGAAAACGAAGACAUGUUGGAAGGGUCCAUUAUGGAUUCCUUACAAAUAUUUUUCAAGGGCCCCCUAUGACCAGAGAGGAUAACACAGAGCUGUGAUUAAGUUUAUAUUCAGGGUUUGAAUCUUGGCAGUUUUUUUCCCUACUGUGUUGUCGAAGCUCUCCAAGCCUCAGUUAUCUCAUCAGUUACCUCCUUUGUAAGGCACCUUGUUGGUUGUUGUGAGGGUUAAAUGACUUAUACACAUAAAGUGAUCACAACAGUGCCUGGCAGAGUGAACAGGCACUACAAAAGCUUUCACCCUCAGGGGGAUUAAUUCCAGCUCCUUACUGCAGUUUGCCCUCCAUUCUCUCCUGUGCAAGCGGGUCCAUCUGAAACAAACUGCCUUGCAAUAUCUAAAGAUAUUUAGUAAAACACAGGUAAAUGUUACUCCACCCGUGAGAAGAGUAAAAAAGCAUCAGCAAUACUAAGGAGCUCUGAAAAAUUCAUUAAUCAACCAUUCAGUAAGAAGCAAUGUGUUAGGCACUGUCUAGGGGCUGCUGAUAUUGUGGUUAACAACCCAGAUAUGGUUCCACACUAAUGGGUAGGAAAGAUAUUAGAUAUGUAAAUUAUUUUGUGUAAUAUAAACUUUUGUUGAAAUAUAAAGUGCAUACGGAAAGUGCACACAUAAUAACUGUACAGCUCAAUUACUUUUUAUAAAAUGAACACACACACAUAAUUCAUACCUAGAUCAAGAAUAUUAUUAAUACCUCCAGCUACCUCCCUGCACCAUCUCCCUCAUUCCCAAUUCCCACACCCCAGGAUUAAUAGUCUCGGUUCUAAAACCUCAGAUUACUUUUGCCUGUUUUUAAAUUUUAUGAAAAGGUAAUCACAACAUGUACUCUUUUGUGACUGGCUUUCCCUCCUCUAUAUAAUGUUUGUGAGUUUCAUCCUUUUUUGGUGAGUUGGAGUGUAUUCUCAUUCUUGCAUACCAUUCUACUGUAUGAAUGAAUACGCCAUGGUUUUUGAACCCACUCUACUAUUGAUGACAUGCUCAGUUUGGGAAUAUUACAAUAACACUGAAAUUUUUGUACACACUCUCUGUUGGAUACAUGCAUACAUUUCUGUUGGGUGUAUAUUGAGGAGGGGAAUAGUUGAGUAUAAACUAUGGGUAUAUGCUGUUUCAAUUGAUACCAUGAAGCAGUUUUCCAGAGUAGUCACAAUGUACCCUCUGGUGAAAAGAGUAUGACAUUUCUGGUUGUUCUCAAUUGUCUCUUUUCCAUUUUAGCCAUCUUGGAGGGUAUGUUGUGGCCUCUGCAGAUUAUGAUGUUCAUCUGCAUUUCCCCAAUGACUAAUGAAGUCAAAUGCCUUUUCAUAUGUUGAUUUUCUGUUUGGAUAUCUAUCUUCUCAUGUGAAUUAUCUUUUCUGACAUUUGUCCAUUUUCCUAUUGAGUUCUCUUCCUUUUUCUUAUUGAUUUGAAGGACUGCUUUAUGCAUUCCAGAUAAGGGUCCUUUGUCAGAUGUAAGUAUUUAUUGAAAUGCUCUUCUUCAGUCUGUGGCUUAUCUUUGUACUCUCUUAAUGGUUUUGAGAACUGUGGUUCUAAAUUUUAAUGUAGUCCAAUUGAUCAAUAUUUUUCCCCUAUGGUUAUUGCUGUCUGUGUCUUAAGAAAUCUUUGCCUGAGGCAGUUCUUGUGGAAGCAGCUAGUGCAAGCCUGGGAAAUUGUUAUGCACUGUGUUGCCUGGACUAGCAAACAAUGUGGUUGGGAUAGCAAAGCAAACCCCAAGAACCGAAAGGUGAGAUGUCUGCUCAUGCCAUCUUUGUGGAGAAAAAUCCAGAGAUCUGGUGAGUUUUGCAUUUUCCAAGUGCUCUGAGGUACGAGACAAUAUGUGAGAAAGAGAAAUACAAAUUUGGUGAAAUGGCAAAGUACACUUUGAUCAAGAAAUUAAGGAUUGGAGACAAGUUAAGGGAGGCAAGAUAAAAGAUCCCAAUAUCCCAAAUACCCUCAUAACACAUAGGACUUCUACUUAGACCUCUACCCAGGAUCAAAAACACAAACCUAGGCGUUUCUGUUGGAGAUAUGGCCAAAAAACUGGUAACAUAUUAUGGCAUGCAGAAUUGAUAAAAAAUACCCCACAAAGAUAUUCCAUUCUAAUUCCAGGGACCUCUAAAUGUAAUGAGACACCACUCAUUCAAGUGAUUGGUUCUAAGGCAGAGUUGGCCUUAAAAUAGGAGAUCAUCUGGGUGUGUGUGAUUUAAUCAAUGAAACCUUUCUAAACAGAGAACCUUCCCCAGUUGGUGGAAGAAUAAGUUACAGAAAUAUGGAGAAUGAGGGGGAUACAACUUGAAGUUGCAGGAAGCCAUGUGAAAGGCCCUCAGGCAACCUUAAAGAAUGAGAGAGAACCCUGGCCAAUAGCCAUCAAGAAAACAGGGUCCUCAGUCCUACACCCACAAGGAACUGAACUCUGUCAAUGGCCUGACUGAGCCUGGAAGUGACGUCUACUCAGGGCUUGCAGAUGAGGGACUCAGCUUGGCUGCUUUCAGCCUUAUGAUUCCCUGAGCAGAGGACUUGGUAACUCCAUGCUGGACUUCAGAGCUACAGGACUGUAAGCUAAUAAAAGGAGGCUGAUUUAAGCUACCCAGUUGGUAGUAAACUGUUACACAGCGAUGGAAAAAUAAAACAUGGGGAAUAAUUUGAGUGAUAGUGGAAAAUGCACCUUAUAAAAAGGCAACAGAGUUGAAAGAGAUGAAUGAGAAAGAUGUUGCCAACUAUGAUCCAAAAGAGAAAUGACAGAAAAAAAGGGCCCAUUUAGCAGUUUCUGGAAAGAGAAGAUGGAGGAGGAAAAUGAGGAGUAUGAGAAAGGGAUAAUACAAAUGAUCAGAAGGAGGAUAAUUAGUACAACUAUGUGCCUGCCUGUCUCCUUGUGAAUGCAUGUAGGAUAAAGGCAUUUAUUCACCCCCUUUCCGUUUGAGAAGGUAUUGGUUACUCUUUCUGAGUUUAAUUGCGCAACUGGAACAGGAUCUCAUUGUGGGUUUUGAAGUGCUGUAGGAACGCUUCCCAUGAAAUGUUUAUGGGUGGCCCAAGCAUCCAGAACUUCUAUCAAAAUUCACAUUUCCAAAUAAUUUUGAAAGAAAAACACUCUUUCUUGUCUUCACUCCUUGAACUCAGAGAGUCACGCAUGAGGGCAAGUACAAGAUUUCUGGAAUUUAAAACAAUGACUUGUAAUUUAUUUGUAAGGUGGUGUUAUCCGUUAGAAACCCCGAAUUAUCCACUGUAUAGAUCUACAGUUUGUAAAAAGAACAAAACAAGCUCGGCAAUCUCUGUGGUCCAAGCUCGGUAUUGCAAUGCUGUGGAAGGUGGCACCUUGUGGAGUGAGUUCAGGGAUGAGGCCAAGCCUUUUGGCCCUCCGUCAGGUUGUCUCGUUUUCUUAUAUAGCAACAUAACAAUUCUGGUGACAUUCUUAGCCAUGGCAAAGGGACAUCAGCUGGCAUGAGAAGUGUUCUGAUUAUUUUCAGUGAAACCUGAGAGUUUUCAAACAAAUUGUAGAACUCUUCAAUGCCAGGAAAGUAGAUGGCCACUCUUUCAAGGAAAGUGCAUGAGCCUUCUGACUUUAUGACUUUAACACACAAUUUGAAGUAUUCAGUGUUUUCUCUUUGUCUUUCUCCUUUCUUUCUUCUUUCUUUCUUAAUUCUUUUUUUUUUUUGUAUGUUUAGAAUCCUAUGACUUCCUUUUCAUGUAAAUGUUUUUAGUCUAACAUACUGCAGAAGAGUGCAUGUCUAGCCAGUGUGGAGCUCGAUGACACAGCGAACAUAGCUGGGUGACAAACACCCAGGAUGAGAUGCCAACCUCCCCUCCCCCCCCCCAGCCACCGCCUCCCCCCAGUUACAGCUGCCCCUCUCCUCCCCAGAUGACCUCCAUCCUCACUCCUAACACAUGAUUUGAUUUCUUUCAGAAUGCUGAAAUGUUUUGGAAGCAAAAGAGAGCAUCAUAUUUUUUAACUGGAGGAAAAAAACAUUAUUUUACCCCAAGGUCAGGAAGCUCUUUUCCUGUUUUCUGUCAAGUUUUAUUGCUUUUACCUUUUGCAAUCAGGCCUUUCUCCAUCUCAAUUUAAUUUUCAGUUUGGUAUGAGGCCAGAUGAUGGUCCCACGUUGGCCUGCGAGCCUGGUGUCUUCCCCCGGCCCCUCCCUUUGUCAGGUCCUGGACUCCGAGUUUCCUCUCCAGCAACUGCUGAAAACAGGCUUUCUGCUUCUGCUUUUUUAGCCUCUAGUCCUCAUAUACCCUCAAUUCAGGAACUGUCCUGAAGGGGAAUCCAGCUGUGUGCUUGAGCCCCGCCCCCCAGCCCCCUGGUCUCUAUUAUAAAUUCUCUAUCCCCAGAUUCUCAGCUUCUGCCAGGACCCAGGAUGAGCGAACAUUUCAGGGGAUGCAGAUGCUGGAGUUAGCCCAUCCCUCUGAGGGUCUGCUCACUCUCGUUCCAGCCCCGCAAUGGUUCUCCGCUGCCUUAAGACUGAUGCUUUCUGCAUUUAAUCAGACCUUUCUCAUUUGCUGGACGGAAAUGCUUGUCUGCUGCAAGUUAUUCCUUAUCACUUGCAACAAUAGAUACAUUUUUAAUUGUAAUUGUGGUAAAGUGAAAGAAAAAAAAAACAUACAGGGUGCAAUUCUAAGAGGGAAUAUUAAAAGUCUCUGGUUCAAAAAGUCUUCUUGUCUUCUGUAGAAGCCACUGUAGUUUACCAUUCGUGGCUCUGAGUCUUGAGCACAUGGACAGGGCAUUAGCAAGAAGGAACCAGUAGCUAAACAUCUAAUCGCACUUUCCCCAUCAGUCUCUUGUGAAACAGGUAAUUUCUCCUCUCUAGAUUCUAAUUUCCCUGAUCCUGGCAUUUCUUCACCUUAGUACAGGAUCCUAUGUUUUAAGUUCUUUAAACUCUUGGAACAAAGGGCAGCCUCUGAAAAGGAGGUGCCACAGGCAUUUCCUUAACCUAUUUUUUUUUCACUUUUUAACUUUUUAAUGAUUUUAAUUUUUUCCAUUAUAGCUGAUUUACAGUGUUCUGUCAAUUUUCUAUUGUACAGCAAAGUGACCCGGUCACACAUACAUAUACACAUUCUUUUUCUCACAUUAUCCUCAGUCAUGCUCCAUCACAAGUGACUAGAUAUAGUUCCCAGUGCUGCGAUACAGCAGGAUCUCAUUGCUUAUCCAUUCCAAAUGCAAUAGUCUGCAUCCAUUAACCCCAGAUUCCCAGUCCAUCCCACUCCCUCUCUCUCCUCCUUGGCAACCACAAGUCUCCUUAACCUAUUUUAAAAAGUGCAUGUAUGCUUAAAAAUCAAAAUAGUAGUUUUUGUUUUUUAAAGGUGGGGAGAAAGCAGAGGAAAUUCUCAGAAGGCCACAUACUGGCAAAAGCUGCUGAGACACGGUCCCUAGAGCAAGGAUGUUCUGAGGCAAAUGUCUCUCUGCCAUCACAUAGUUUCUUCUAUGGCUGCUUCCAGGUCUGCUCCAGCUGCUUGGAAAUGAGCACAGCUUCAUAGAAGUCAUUUGGAGGAAAUGAAAUUACAAGUCAUCAAUUAACGCUACCAUAGGAUUAAGGCCGAGCUUAUCCUAAUGACAUUUAGUGUCCUGGGAUGGAAGGGAGUUCAGGGUACUUUCCUUUCUCUCAUGUUUGAAUUUGCCACUGACAAUGCCUAGUGAUCAAGCAAGGAGUUCUGAAAAACAGAGCCAAGGGAUAGGAGAGGCUGGAGGCAGGCUGGAUAGUCACCGCUGGGAGAGGGCUGAUCCUUAAAUAAAAAGAAGGAAGAGCUUGUGUGCUACCUGACAGCUGGCUUCCAGCUGAUGAAACUCUAAUAGUGUAGGACAGGCAGGGACCUUAACAAAUCUGAGUGAUCACCCCUUUGGGAGGAAAAAAAUAAUGCAUGAAUAAUUAAUUGAAAUUUCCUUCUAAAGUAGGGUCAGAGGAAAAUGAAUGUUGUCUAGAGGGAAGCCAGCCCCAGAGAUAACCUCAGCUAAUAGAGGAUGUGAUGGCUCAGAAGGCAAACAAAAUAAAGUGUAGGAGAAGCACAAGGAAAACAAAUGAAGGGAAAUAGGGAGGGAAUAAAAACAGGGAGAGUUGGGAGGAAGCGGCUGCCUGGGAACAAGCCAGGCAAA